rnacentral:rRNA from 1 species
GGCCUAAACAUGCAAGUCGAGCGGUAGAGAGAAGCUUGCUUCUCUUGAGAGCGGCGGACGGGUGAGUAAUGCCUAGGAAUCUGCCUGGUAGUGGGGGAUAACGUUCGGAAACGGACGCUAAUACCGCAUACGUCCUACGGGAGAAAGCAGGGGACCUUCGGGCCUUGCGCUAUCAGAUGAGCCUAGGUCGGAUUAGCUAGUUGGUGAGGUAAUGGCUCACCAAGGCGACGAUCCGUAACUGGUCUGAGAGGAUGAUCAGUCACACUGGAACUGAGACACGGUCCAGACUCCUACGGGAGGCAGCAGUGGGGAAUAUUGGACAAUGGGCGAAAGCCUGAUCCAGCCAUGCCGCGUGUGUGAAGAAGGUCUUCGGAUUGUAAAGCACUUUAAGUUGGGAGGAAGGGUUGUAGAUUAAUACUCUGCAAUUUUGACGUUACCGACAGAAUAAGCACCGGCUAACUCUGUGCCAGCAGCCGCGGUAAUACAGAGGGUGCAAGCGUUAAUCGGAAUUACUGGGCGUAAAGCGCGCGUAGGUGGUUUGUUAAGUUGGAUGUGAAAUCCCCGGGCUCAACCUGGGAACUGCAUUCAAAACUGACUGACUAGAGUAUGGUAGAGGGUGGUGGAAUUUCCUGUGUAGCGGUGAAAUGCGUAGAUAUAGGAAGGAACACCAGUGGCGAAGGCGACCACCUGGACUAAUACUGACACUUAAGUGCGAAAACGUGGGGAGCAAACAGGAAUAAA